rnacentral:tRNA from 1 species
AAGGAGACCUGCUUUUCUGGAAAAAACCCCAAAAAUUCAACCAGAAAAGACAAGGAAGGUCGUGCGAGGCAUAAAAAAGGCUUUCAAACUAUUGAAUGGUUCGCAACGGGCUAUUAGCUCAGGUGGUUAGAGCGCACCCCUGAUAAGGGUGAGGUCCCUGGUUCAAGUCCAGGAUGGCCCACUCAACCUUAAAGUGAGGGGGUAUAGCUCAGUUGGUAGAGCGCUGCCUUUGCACGGCAGAAGUCAGCGGUUCGAGUCCGCUUACCUCCAGGAAAGGCCAAAAUUUUCAGCACUUCAAUGUGAAUUGUUCACAGUGAAAAUGCUGGCAAUAAACCAGUAAUGAACCUUGAAAACUGCAUAGUAACAGAAAAUAGUGGGGAUGAAGACCGCCAUCAAAAGCGGGAUUUAUCAAACACAAGACAAUCUAAGUAUUCA